UGGGUUAAGUCCCGCAACGAGCGCAACCCUUGUUUCUAGUUGCUUUACAAAAGGUAUCUUGAAAGACUGCCGGUUAUAAACCGGAGGAAGGUGAGGAUGACGUCAAGUCAUCAUGCCCCUUAUACCCUGGGCUACACACGUGCUACAUUGGGCAAGACAAAAAGUUGCGAAUUUGUGAAAAUAAGCUAAUCUCUAAACUUGCUCUAAGUUCGGAUUGAAGGCUGCAACUCGCCUUCAUGAAGAUGGAAUCGCUAGUAAUCGCUGGUCAGCUAUACAGCGGUGAAUCCGUUCCCGGGUCUU
rnacentral:rRNA from 1 species